AUUGAACGCUGGCGGCAUGCCUUACACAUGCGAGUCGAACGGCAGCACGGGUGCUUGCCCCUGGUGGCGAGUGGCGAACGGGUGAGUAAUACAUCGGAACAUGUCCUGUAGUGGGGGAUAGCCCGGCGAAAGCCGGAUUAAUACCGCAUACGAUCCACGGAUGAAAGCGGGGGACCUUCGGGCCUCGCGCUAUAGGGUUGGCCGAUGGCUGAUUAGCUAGUUGGUGGGGUAAAGGCCUACCAAGGCGACGAUCAGUAGCUGGUCUGAGAGGACGACCAGCCACACUGGGACUGAGACACGGCCCAGACUCCUACGGGAGGCAGCAGUGGGGAAUGUUGGACAAUGGGCGAAAGCCUGAUCCAGCAAUGCCGCGUGUGUGAAGAAGGCCUUCGGGUUGUAAAGCACUUUUGUCCGGAAAGAAAUCCUUGGCUCUAAUACAGUCGGGGGAUGACGGUACCGGAAGAAUAAGCACCGGCUAACUACGUG
rnacentral:rRNA from 1 species